rnacentral:lncRNA from 1 species
AACAGCCGGAGCGUACCCCCCUGCUCUGAACUAAGGAACUAAUAGUGUUAGAGAGAGAGGAAGAGUGUUGUUGUUGAGUUUUGCUGUUUUAUGAAUGUUUAAUGUGUUUUUAACUACCUCAAUCUCGCUUUUACAAUAUCUGAGACAUGAACAUGUUGAAGAUGCAGAAUGGCUCUGCCCCGUGUGCCGCAGCAAGCCACAGCCUGCCAGAGAGAGCACAUCAACAUAGUAGAAAACCAUGGACAUCCGGAGAGAACUAUGCGGCAUGACAAACUCUACGAGCACUGGUGGUUCCUCCCUGCCGUCUCACGGCAGCGGCGCGACGGUGUCGAGAACGGUGGCUUGGUCAGCGUGGAAUCCGGCGAAGCGCUGCGCGCUGAGGGUGGGUGAUAGAUGACCGGUCACUGAACAAUGAAGCGAGUCAGAUCAUUGGGCGCAGUGAUUACCAGCCACGCAUCGCGGCUGGUCCGCGGAAGUUAUUGCUUUGAUGUCGGACUAAGUCACACAAUGUUUUGUCACAUUCUAGAGUGAUGCUGACAAUGGAAUGCAUCGCUAAUUUGCUUCCGAUGCUGCCUUAACGGUGAUAUGAGAUGCGUGAUAAACCGUUUGUUUGUU